GGAGGGAUGGCAGAGUGGACGAUUGCGACGGUCUUGAAAACCGUAGUGGGUGCAAGCUCACCGAGGGUUCGAAUCCCUCUCCCUCCG
rnacentral:tRNA from 1 species